AUAGGCUUUGAAGGAUUUACUUAUGUAAUCAUGUAAUCAAGUACAAGGGAAAAAAUUAUUUUACUUGGAAAUGUUCAACAAAUAAUACUAUUAUAAACUGUCCUGGAAUCCUAAGAACUAGUAUUCUAAAAACUGACCCUUCUGUGACAACAAAACAUAAUCAUACUGCAAGUGAAUCUGAUGCCAACGCUGUAAUGUACAGUGUCACCGAUGAUUAAUAAUCAUAAUU